AAAACUAAUAAUGAUACUUAGGAAAAUAUUUGCUAUUUUUACUGUCUUUACAUUGUAUAAUUAAUUUUUUUAAAGAUGUGUAGAUAUUAUUAAAUGUUAAUAAGAUCUUAUUUUGUCAAGAUCGCUAUAUGUGAAAUAUAUAAAGGAUAAGUAACAAAAUCAACAUUAGAUGGAGAUUAUUUUACUAUAUAAGCAUAUUUUUAAUAAUUAAAUUGUGAUGAAAUAGAAAAUCUUUAUAGAACAAAUUAAAAAGUUGGCAAAGAAAGAAAUAUCGAAUUCGUUCAUCAUUUAAAAUUAUUUUCUUAAAAUGUAAAAAUAAUUGUUUUCAUAGUGUUGUACGUGUGUGUGUGUGUCACAACCACUAAAAUAUAAAACUAGAUUUGAAAUGUGUCACAACUUACCCACAAUUGUUUUAUAAAAAAAAAGUAAAUCAUUACAUGCCCAUAUAGAAAUGAUAUAAACUUCUAAUUUAGAACCAGUUAUCACAGAAGAGAUAUUAUAAUUAAAUACUUUCCGUAAAUAAAACAUGAAAUUCAGAAUAAAACAGAGGAAACAGAAGUAAACAGGGGUAACAAAUUGGACUUUAUAACUAAAUACUUUCCGGAAAUAAAACAUGAAAUUCAGAAUAAAACAGAAGUGAUAUUAUAAUUAAACAGAAGAGAUAUUAUAAAACAGUUAUCACAGAAGAGAUAUUAUAAUUAAAUACUUUCCGUAAAUAAAACAUGAAAUCUAUUACUAUAAAAGAGAGUUGGUUCUCUCCUGCUGACACAUCAGCGUCCAGGUCAAAAAUUCAGUGUAUAUCGUCUCAACACGUGUCCGCUGUGUGCUAAAUGCACCGUUUCAUUUAUUGCUUUCCUUCAUUCGUAUGGAUUUUUACCUUUGUUGGGCCGUGUCACCUCUCUGUCUAGCCCACUAGCUUUUCCUUGAUGAAACGCACCGUUCCUUUAUCACGUGUUCUUCUCUUUCCGUCUCCAGCUCUAAUGGCGAUUAGGGUUUUGAAAAUGAUCUCUCAUCUUUUUUCUUACAGUCUGGAACGGUACAAGUAACCGAGAUAUCCACUUUAACCUUCCAUUAAUGAUCCAUGAUCUAUUUAAUGCGAGUUUUGUUAUGCAAGGCGAUGGAAUUCGGCUAUAAAAAGGUUGCUUUACACCUUUGAGAAUCAUCCUCUCAUUCGUUCUAAAUAACCCAGUAAAAAUGGUGUUCUAUGGCUAACGUUUCAGUCUUCCUCUCAGUUUCUGUUACAGUUAUUUCACCAGACAUUUUCCAGAUUUCGAUGAUUGUUGUGUACGUUUUUCAUGUUCGUAAAUUUUCACCAUCGGAGUAGUUUCACCGUUCAUGACUCAGGAGGAUGAUAAAGCUUAGGCUCUGGACGAUGAGAUGGCUGUGAAAGAGCCUGAGUUAGGAAAGAAACAGAAUUGGAAUCAGAGUAUGAAAAACAGAAACAAUGAGAGACAUUAGAUAUCAGUGAGAGGGAGAAAUAGAAAUAGGAACAGUUUUAAAGAGGGAGUCAACUGAGACAAAGAGGGAUCACAUAGAAGAAUAAGAAGAAGAGACCCGGGAGAGAUCAGAGAAGCUGCGAGACUGAGAAUGAUACAAGAAAAGGCACUUCAUCUUGAUGGAUCUUAGAAAGGACAUGAUGCUACACAUGCAAGGUCUCUUUUGUUUGACACCUGAUACUAUCUAUGCAAUGCACAUUAAUCUAAAUGCUUCUCAAUGUCUGGAUUGGGAUAGUGUAUCAGGGUAAAAUAUCAAUGAAAGCUCCGUAAAAACAGCAGCACGCAGGUAAAGGGAGAGACUCCAUAAAACGUUUCUCUCAUCUGUACUCAACUUUUUAUCAAUAUCAAUGAAAGCUUAUAUUUUCUCUGCUGCGUUCAUCUAAUAUUUUAUCAAUGUGACUCCAUUAUACAUGGAUGAAACUGUUUUUUCCUUUCCAGUGUUACCAUCAGUUCCAA